rnacentral:lncRNA from 1 species
AAUACCAGUUGAGCGAGGCCCAGCUGAGCCUCAUCAGGGAUAUCCGGCGCCGGGGCAAAAACAAGAUGGCUGCACAGAACUGCCGCAAGCGCAAGUUGGACACCAUCCUGAACCUAGAACGUGAUGUGGAGGACUUGCAGCGAGAUAAGGCCCGAUUGCUCCGAGAAAAGGAAAUUUACAGGACCGUGACUGAUUAAAGGAGACGGAGAACUUUAAAGCAACUGGAUAAAGAUGUAGUGCCUCACAGAACCUGCCAGUGGUAUAGACCUGACAAGUGACAUCUUGGCACCUUAAGCUCCUGUCAGAUUUACUGUCUACAACACCAACCUGAUAGUUGUGUGCAGCUAGGUCCUUCUGUCAGUGAUAAAAUACACUCUUCAGCCUACCUGUGUACCAGGCUGGACCAUC